GCAAGAUAAAUUAAAACGUAUGUUCAUACAAAAACUUGUACAUGAUUGGUUAUUGCAGCAUUAUUCACAAGACCCAAAAAGUGGAAACAACCCAAAUACUCAUCAACUGAUGAAUGGGUGGAAAUGGGCUGCCAUGUUGUGAGCUGCCCCAUGCGGAAGAGGCUCACAUGUGAGGAACUGAGGGAGGCCUCCAGAAAACAGCCAGUGAAGAACUGAAACCCUCAGUCCAAUAGCCUGUGAGGAACUGAAUCCUGCUGACAACCAUAUGAAUGAGCUUGGAAGCAGGUCCUUCCCCAGUGAAGCCUUCAUGUGAGACUGCAGCCCACUUGACACUUUGAUUUGUAGCCUUGUGACAGACCCCAAGCCAGAAGAGUCAGGAACCAUCAAUAUGAAUUCAGAAUGUAUUUCCUGGCUCUCUCUAUGGAAAAUACCUAGAAACAGUGACCAAUCCUACAGUAAUGAGCACCCCUAGCCUCUAGACUGUGGUCUCACAAGACCAUUUCCCACUAAAAGGAACCAGUACUAUUUGGAGAAAUCACUGGGUCCAGGUCUUGGGCAGGAAACAUCUGAGAUGAACCUGGAAGAACUUGUUAUACCAAAGCACUCUGAAGCUUUCAAUGAAAAUUGAGGUCAUGCUAAAAGGAUUCGGGAGCUUGACUUGAUUGGCCAAGGAUGGGGUGAUUUCAACAUCAACAUGGAUUAAAAACUGCAAGGGAUUAAAACACAUCAAAUAUAUUUAAAGCUAUGAGUUAAUAAUAUUGCUAAAAAGAAAUGUGUUGUUUCUGUUGGAGGAUGCUAGGAAAGCAACUCAUUAUUUUGAAUACUCGUAAAUAAAAAAUUUAAGUAUUUAUCUUGUUCUUCUGUAUGAACUGUACCACUGGGAACAAAAUAGAAGAUGAAGGGUGUUUUCUCUUUAAGUAUAGGGAGCUUGCUAUAUUAUAUAAGGAACUGUGGAAUUAGUCUCUCAUCAUUUGACAACCCUUAAUGUAGUAAAGGCUCUCGCUAUCAAGCAUGAAUUGUCAGCAUAAGAAAAAAAAGAGACAAAUGGACACGAGGAGCCUUCUGCUAGAGCACAUCACUGCCCAUGAAGUAGUCUUGCAAAAACAUGGAACCUGAAUCUAAAUGAGCCUCUCUUUCCAACAACCAAUUUAUAGGAACUCAAAGGAGAGGAGAGGAACACAUUCGAUGAUGCCACCAGAGUUGUAAUCAGCCCAAACCAGAUUGUGGGAAACUCUCCAGGCCAAAUGUCCUGCUGGACUCAAAAAAUUAAUUUCAAUGAAAACAUUUUGAAUGGGGUUGGGGGAACAUACAGACUAAGAAACAUAUCAAUCAGUUGCAGAUUCUAAUUCAAAUAAACUCUUUAAAAGUUAUCACUUU